GUUGAGCCCACCUGAUGGUGCUACAGCAGCUUUAUGAUGUGCAGCAAUAAAUAGAGAUGUUCAGCAGGAGAGGAUCAAUUAUAAUGAUAUUACUUAUUAAAUAUGUUAAUUGAGCCCAAAUGUCACAAAUAAAAUUCCAGCUGUUUGAGGAUUAAAUGUUUUUAUUUCGUGACUUACAUAUAAAGUCUGCUCUGUGAUGAUACAAACACACAGGAAUUAUAAAGUGAAAGCCUUCAGAGGCACACAGAUGAUGUUCUUACAUAUACAGGCCGAGGGAUGACUCGUCACGUUAUAAGAGCAUCUUAUAGGACACAUUUUGAUUUGAUGUCAAGUUCUCCACAGGUUAACAUGGGCUCGCUGUCUGGCCUCUAUUGUCGGACUCCACCAUGCUGUUUGGAUCAGGCUCCUCCAGGUGAGAUGUGGGCUGACGGGCCGCCAUGUUCUACGAGUGGACCGGAACGUUCCACGGUUGCUAUGGUUCGUCUCCAGGUGCAUCAUUGGGUCCGGACCAAAACAUUAGCAAGACUCCGAAAUGUUUCACAACAUUUCUACUCCAACUGGACGAUUUAUCUACGAACAAAACAUCUAGUGAGGAUUGUGUUCGCAUCUCAACCCUUGUUCAAGGCCCAGUGUCACUGACAAGAGGACUUUUGUCACGACAAAAACAGUCAUCAACAGAGAGCAGAGAAAGCCCUGCAGACAGACACUGCUCCUCCAGAAAAGAUGGCUCAGCGUACGGUGAGGAAGGCUAUCCUCAUCGAGGCCCUGCCCAUCAGACCACAGGACGUCCGCCUCAGGGUCCCAGCACCAGCCUGCUGCAGCAGCUGCCCAAAAAGGUCAGGUCGUUCCUCUCGUAGCUCUGCUUCUGGCGCUCCCACUCGCUCCUCCUCUCGCCCUACCAUGGGCCCUUCUUCUAGCUCCUCCUCUGGCCCUUCUUCUAAAUCCUCCUCUCGCCCUACCUUGGGCCCUUCUUCGACCUCCUCCUCUCGCCCUACCUUGGGCCCUUCUUCAAACUCUUCCUCUCCAUCACUUUCUUCCCUGCGUGGCACUCCUGCCUCUUUGGUGUUAAGUGAUCCUGCCAGGAUCACUUCACGAAAGCGGCAGCAGGCGUUCACUUCUAUCUGGCCUAUACCUAAGGGACCGCGUAAGCCUCAGCCUCCAUGGAGCGGCCCUAAGCCAAGUUUAGUCCAGAACCAGCAGCUGUGGAGCGGCCCUGAACCGGAGUGGGCGAGGAAGAUCUAUUUGAAUCAACUGAAUUUAUGUAUUUGA
rnacentral:lncRNA from 1 species